rnacentral:rRNA from 1 species
CUGGCGGCGUGCUUAACACAUGCAAGUCGAACGGAGUGCCUAUGAUAGAGACUUCGGUCAAUGGAUUAGGUUACUUAGUGGCGGACUGGUGAGUAACGCGUGAGGAACCUGCCUUUCAGAGGGGGACAACAGUUGGAAACGACUGCUAAUACCGCAUGACACAUCGAUGGGGCAUCCCAUUGAUGUCAAAGAUUUAUCGCUGAAGGAUGGGCUCACGUCUGAUUAGCUUGUUGGUGAGGUAACGGCUCACCAAGGCGACGAUCAGUAGCCGGACUGAGAGGUUGACCGGCCACAUUGGGACUGAGAUACGGCCCAGACUCCUACGGGAGGCAGCAGUGGGGAAUAUUGGGCAAUGGGCGCAAGCCUGACCCAGCAACGCCGCGUGAAGGAAGAAGGCUUUCGGGUUGUAAACUUCUUUUAUGAGGGACGAAGAAGUGACGGUACCUCAUGAAUAAGCCACGGCUAACUACGUG